rnacentral:rRNA from 1 species
ACCGUAUACUGAUCAUGGAAAGAUUUGAACGCUAGCGGCAUGCCUUACACAUGCAAGUCGAACGGCAGCGGACCUUCGGGUGCCGCGAGUGGCGAACGGGUGAGUAAUACAUCGGAACGUACCCAGUAGCGGGGGAUAGCCCGGCGAAAGCCGGAUUAAUACCGCAUACGCCCUACGGGGGAAAGGGGGGGAUCGCAAGACCUCUAACUAUUGGAGCGGCCGAUGGCUGAUUAGCUAGUUGGUGGGGUAAAGGCCUACCAAGGCGACGAUCAGUAGCUGGUCUGAGAGGACGACCAGCCACACUGGGACUGAGACACGGCCCAGUCUCCUACGGGAGGCAGCAGUGGGGAAUUUUGGACAAUGGGCGAAAGCCUGAUCCAGCAAUGCCGCGUGUGCGAAGAAGGCCUUCGGGUUGUAAAGCACUUUUGUCAGGAAAGAAAGCGGGUGGGCUAAUACCCCGAGCGUUUGACGGUACCUGAAGAAUAAGCACCGGCUAACUACGUGCCAGCAGCCGCGGUAAUACGUAGGGUGCAAGCGUUAAUCGGAAUUACUGGGCGUAAAGCGAGCGCAGGUGGUUUGUUAAGACAGUUGUGAAAUCCUCGGGCUUAACCUGGGAACUGCAAUUUUAACUGGCAGGCUAGAGUUUGGCAGAGGGGGGUGGAAUUCCUGGUGUAGCAGUGAAAUGCGUAGAUAUCAGGAGGAACAUCGAUGGCGAAGGCAGCCCCCUGGGCCAUGACUGACACUCAUGCACGAAAGCGUGGGGAGCAAACCAGUAAAUUAGAUACCCUGGGUAGUCCUAUGCCCUACCACGAUGUCUAUUAGUUGUUGGGUCUUUCAUUGACUUAAUUAACGAAGCUAACGCGUGAAAUAGACAGGCACCUGGGGAGUACGGCCGCAAGGUUAAAACUCAAAGGAAUUGACGGGGACCCGCACAAGCGGUGGAUGAUGUGGAUUAAUUCGAUGCAACGCGAAAAACCUUACCUACCCUUGACAUGCUAGGAAUUCUGCAGAGAUGCGGAAGUGCUCGAAAGAGAACCUGGACACAGGUGCUGCAUGCAGUGUCGUCAGCUCGAUAUUCGUGAGAUGUUGGGUUAAGUCCCGCAACGAUUACAACCCUUGUCAUUAGUUGCUACGAAAGGGCACUCUAAUGAGACUGCCGGUGACAAACCGGAGGAAGGUGGGGAUGACGUCAAGUCCUCAUGGCCCUUAUGGGUAGGGCUUCACACGUCAUACAAUGGUCGGUACAGAGGUACAGGCCAACCCGCGAGGGGGAGCCAAUCCUUUAAAACCGAUCGUAGUUAUCCAAUUGUAGUCUGCAACUCGACUACAUGAAGUCGGAAUCGCUAGUAAUCGCGGAUCAGAAUGUCGCGGUGAAUACGUUCCCGGGUCUUGUACACACCGCCCGUCACACCAUGGGAGCGGGUUUUACCAGAAGUAGCUAGCUUAACCUUCGGGAGGGCGGUUACCACGGUAUAUUCGCA